rnacentral:sRNA from 2 species
UAUUCUGCCCCAUGGGGAAGGAUGAGAAGCUUCGACUAAGGUUCGACUCGUGCGAAGCGAGAGAACGUUGCCGCAGGCAACGGCCCGAAGGGCGAGGCGCUUUAGCGCCGAGUAAUCCUUCCCCCACCACCA